ACAAAAAGGUAUCAUAUAUUAUAUCAAAUAUGUUGCAUUACAAAGAAUAUGGUCAAAAGUUUACAAAAUGUGAAACUAUCUACUAGUAGUUGCCUAAUUCUCAACCUUGCAGCCAACUCCUCAACUAUUCUAAAACAUAAUGUCUGAAACAUUGACCACAAAAAUCACAUUCUAAUUGUAUAUUAGCAGCCCCAUUCUCGACCUUGGAAUCAACAUUUGAGCCAUGCAUAAUCCAUUCAUUUUUGUCAAUCUACAACAAUGAAAGAAAUGAGAUGAGCAACUAACAGUAGAGAAAAGCAGGUCAACAGAUCAGUAGUAAAAUUUAAAGGAGGAGCUCCUUACAAAUGAUGAAGACGACAUCAGUAGCCUCUGUACGCAGAAAAAUAGCCUACAUUUGACAAACACUUUGAUCAUUGUGUUUUCUUAUGAACAAACUUGCUAUAUGUCAAACCUUUAAAAGAACAUACUAAGUAAGAAACAAGUUACCUCUCUUGAAUAAAAUCAUUUACUGACAUACCACACGUCCUUCGUUUCCUAAGAAAAUUUGUUGUGGUCCAGAAAAUACAAGUAGAUGCAAGAUUUCAACAAUUUUGAAACACUUCAAAGAAAAUAAUGAACACCAGGAUGAUACAUUAUAUUUCUCCUAAUUGCCCUGCACAAGUCCUGAAUAUCCACCGCUUAUCUAAAUAAGAAUAUGCAUAAGACAACACAUGCUCAUUUACUAAAUUAACUAAGUUCUAGAAUAAGUGAGUACAGGGAAAAUAUGGCUUAUAUUUAUUUAUAUAAAACCAAAACAAAUUGUACCGAAUAGGGAAAAUCAAUAACUCAAACCUCUGCUUUGUGGAGGCUAUGUCAAAGC
rnacentral:lncRNA from 1 species